UAAUGGAAUUACAGUAAAACCUGUCUUAAGAAGCCAGCCAAGGCAGUAGGAAAACGUGGCUGCUUAUGGCAGAUGGCUGCUUAAUGCAGGUAAUUUAUAGCAUGAAUAACCAUUUUGGGAAAUGAGACACUGGCUGCCUAAGACAGGUUGGCUGCUUAAUAGAGGUGACUGCUAAAGCAGGUUUUACUGUAGAACAUUUAUUGUAAUGCAACUUGUCAUAUAAACUCACCUUGCAGAUAGAUUCAUUUUGAACUAAUCUUUAAAAAAAAUAUUGAAAUAUCAUGACUUUUUCUCCUAGGAUAACACCAAAAAAGAACAGCACUAAAUAUUACAAUUCUUUACACCAACAUUCAUUAAUAGUUACCUGGCCAAGGGAUUCUUAGUUAAUCAAGUAAUAAAUUAUUUGGUUCUUUUAAUCUUCUGUAGUGUACCUGUUGCUUGUCUCACAACAGGAGAUUAUCCCAGACUGCAUGAUAAGAUCUUGUCUGCUUUAUGUUUAGAAACUCAUAAUAAGAGAUCAACCAAUGAAAAUAAAGUCUGUGAACUACUUCUGGGGGCUGUAAUUGUACCUCAAAAAGUAAUCCUGAACUUUUUUUCUGUUUAAUAUCAGGGUAAACUUCAAAAAUAAUGAGUAUGUAAGUGGAAUAAAAUUAACCUGUGGUACAAAAUAUUUUUAACAUCCCAGAUGUAUCCUCCAAUAGCUGACUGUAAAUGACACAUUUGCCCAAGAAUAUCUAAGUUUCAAAUCUACACAGGAAGUUCUUUGUUUGAGAGCAGGAUGGAGUUAUUUUACUAUGUUUACAUGCAGCUUGGAAGUUAACAAUAACUAAAAGAAUACACCAGGAGUAUAUAAACAGCAUACAGUAUGAAUGAAUGAAUGGAGAUAAUUCAGUUUAGUGACCCAAUGUAUUGUGUUCAAAGAAGGCUCCAUCCAACAAUUCAAAGACAUGUUAAUGCAGUGAGGCAACUGAUGGCAAAUGAUGGCUUUGUGACGGUUAAUGAAAACUACAUGGUAUUUUACACUGAUGGUGGCGAACAGUGACAGAAAAUUUCUCAACCAAUAGUUACAUUUAGUUGAAAGCGAUGGUAUUAUCUUAUACAGACUAUACUGAAUUAUAACAAACAGUGGAAAACAUUGAUAUACUACAGUGACAGUGGAUCUGUAUAGAAACUGGUGACAUUUUAGCUCCAUAUUGCUUGUUCCAUUUUCUGUCACCUAGUGAAGAAAUGUUAAAAUUCAUAAGCAGUUUUGUUAUACUACAGACUAUUAUGAAAUUAUAAAUUAAGA
rnacentral:lncRNA from 1 species